UAUACAGCAAGCGGCCAAGCGAAAGCGUUAAGUAUUCCACCUGGGGAGUACGCCGGCAUCGGUGAAACUCAAAGGAAUUGACGGGGGCCCGCACAAGCGGAGGAACAUGUGGUUUAAUUCGAUGAUACGCGAGGAACCUUACCCGGGCUUAAAUUGCAGAUGAAUUACGGUGAAAGCCGUAAGCCGCAAGGCAUCUGUGAAGGUGCUGCAUGGUUGUCGUCAGCUCGUGCCGUGAGGUGUCGGCUUAAGUGCCAUAACGAGCGCAACCCUUGUUGUCAGUUACUAACAGGUUCCGCUGAGGACUCUGACAAGACUGCCAUCGUAAGAUGUGAGGAAGGUGGGGAUGACGUCAAAUCAGCACGGCCCUUACGUCCGGGGCUACACACGUGUUACAAUGGGGGGUACAGAGGGCCGCUACCACGCGAGUGGAUGCCAAUCCCAAAAACCUCUCUCAGUUCGGACUGGAGUCUGCAACCCGACUCCACGAAGCUGGAUUCGCUAGUAAUCGCGCAUCAGCCACGGCGCGGUGAAUACGUUCCCGGGCCUUGUACACACCGCCCGUCAAGCCAUGGGAGCCGGGGGUACCUGAAGUGCGUAACCGCGAGGAGCGCCCUAGGGUAAAACUGGUGACUGGGGCUAAGUCGUAACAAGGU
rnacentral:rRNA from 1 species